GUGGAAUGUGUUCUAACGCGAAUCAAAUCUUUUGCUGACGACACCAUUGAUAAGGAAGCCACAAAAAUGUCUUUUAUCAAAUCGAUUGGCAUCAAAACGUUUUUUGGAGCAGUGACCAAUCGCUCAGUUGAUCUUUGCCAUAAGAGGAUUCUGAACAAUACUGCUCUUCAACUUGCUAAGCCAGUUUCUCACGAAUCCAAUCGAACGGGCUGUAGUUUUGUACCUACUGUCUUUUUGGACUGUUUCAAGGAAAAUGUUUUCAUGAACUGCCCAAAACAAAAAUGGAUUAACGUUCCCGAGUGUAAUGCCCUUAGAUCGAAAAUCUCUUCCGGAUGUACCUUCAAUGCUAUCAAGGGCUAUUCAAACAGUACACAUUUUUGAUUGGAAUUGCAUACCUAUGCAGAAAAAUGCUGAGGAAUAAACUCUCAAAUUAAUCCGCUCCAUA